rnacentral:rRNA from 1 species
GAUGAACGCUGGCGGCGUGCCUAAUACAUGCAAGUCGAGCGAACGGACGAGAAGCUUGCUUUUCUGAUGUUAGCGGCGGACGGGUGAGUAACGCGUGGAUAACCUACCUAUAAGACUGGGAUAACUUCGGGAAACCGGAGCUAAUACCGGAUAAUAUUUUGGACCGCAUGGUUCAAAAGUGAAAGGCGGUCUUGCUGUCACUUAUAGAUGGAUCCGCGCUGCAUUAGCUAGUUGGUAAGGUAACGGCUUACCAAGGCAACGAUGCAUAGCCGACCUGAGAGGGUGAUCGGCCACACUGGAACUGAGACACGGUCCAGACUCCUACGGGAGGCAGCAGUAGGGAAUCUUCCGCAAUGGGCGAAAGCCUGACGGAGCAACGCCGCGUGAGUGAUGAAGGUCUUCGGAUCGUAAAACUCUGUUAUUAGGGAAGAACAUAUGUGUAAGUAACUGUGCACAUCUUGACGGUACCUAAUCAGAAAGCCACGGCUAACUACGUG